CGGAACACGUACGCAACCUUCCUUUAACUGGAGAAUAGCCCCUCGAAAGAGGGAUUAAUACUCCGUAACAUAUUGAUAAGGCAUCUUAUUAAUAUUAUAGCUCCGGCGGUUAAAGAUGGGCGUGCGCCUGAUUAGAUAGUUGGUGAGGUAACGGCUCACCAAGUCUGCGAUCAGUAACUGGUGUGAGAGCACGACCAGUCACACGGGCACUGAGACACGGGCCCG
rnacentral:rRNA from 1 species